AAAAGUGGUUACCCAGACAUUUGGUACCAGAGGCAAGAAGAGAGAGAGAGGGUGCCAUGAGAUCACUCUCACUUCAAUUCUCCUCUCCUGUGAGACCUUUUCCUUUUAAAAUUGCUCAGUACUCUCACCCUUCCUCACCUAACUCCUCUGAGCUUUUCCAGUGAAAACCCUGAGCCAGAAUAAAAACAAUCUCACAACUUCUCUUUGCUGAGUAAAACAGAAAAUAUUAGAAAGAGGAGAGUCAAAGAAUAGGCAGCCGUGGAGAGAGGACCAAGAAUUUACCUUCUCAGGACUUAAAUCCAAUACCACAAACGGUCUGAGACAUAGAACACCCUGUUAUGAAGGGCGUUGAAAGAAUUAAAGAUGAUUAAGGAUUGGAAAAAUCCUUGGGGAUGCACUGGGUCCAUGAUUAACUUGAUAACUUGUGAAUCUGGGCAUGUUAUCUGAGAAUAGAAUUGUUCGACAUCAGUAAUCUCACGAUCAUACAGUGGUCUAUCUACUCUGAUGAAAGCUAAGUAUUGAAACAUUGUCCAAGCAAUAUUUCUAAAGUUGACAUUCUUAAGAGCUAUUUUCUCUGUUUUAAAUACAUUCCUAUCAAUUUAUUUGGUUUUCUGUUAACAUGACUUUCUAAGCUAUGUCUUUCUCUUUUCCUUCCUUCUUUUUGGUUACUCUCCUUUGUUUAUUUAGGGUUUUUGAUUGUUUUGCAAGUUUUGAAAGCAAGGUAUUCUAUUUUUUUUACUGAUUACUUAAAUAUUUUCAUAUACUUAACUUCUUAAACUCUAAUGUUAAUCAAUACCAUUAGCUGCCUGAAGAACAUAAGAAUUUUAGAAUACUUUAGUUUCAAUUCUCCAACCUACCUAUCCCCAGC
rnacentral:lncRNA from 1 species